GGCUCAGUGGUGGAUGAUCCACGUCUGUCUUUGGUAUGAUAGACAUGUGUUUGUUCCAUUAAGCAGAAGAAGUCUGUUCGAAUCAGGCCUGAGCCA